AACGUAGGAGCCAAGCGUUAUCCGAAUUCACUGGGCGUAAAGCGCGUGCAGGCGGCCGGCUAAGUUGGGUGUGAAAUCUCCCGGCUCAACUGGGAGGCGACGUUCAAAACUGGCUGGCUAGAGGGCGAGAGAGGGAGGUGGAAUUCCCGGUGUAGUGGUGAAAUGCGUAGAUAUCGGGAGGAACACCAGUGGCGAAAGCGGCCUCCUGGCUCGACCCUGACGCUCAGACGCGAAAGCUAGGGGAGCGAACGGG
rnacentral:rRNA from 1 species